rnacentral:piRNA from 1 species
UAACCCUCAGGGAAUUCAUGUGCUCAGCC